GGCGAUGAUACUUGCACUAUUUCCAGAAUAUCCGCCAUGUAGCAGUGCUGGAUCUUGAUAAGCUGUGGCUAGUCUCUCAUGAAAACUUGCUAUUGUCGGAUCAUUUUGCUCCUCUUUAUCCUUUUUUAGCAAGCUCUGUAGCGCUCAUGGAAAGGCAGAAAAACAAUCAUUAUACAUGUUAGGAAACGACAACUCAAAUAAGGAGCCUAUCGAACUUUAAGAAUUGACAAGACUGCUCAAUGAAAAGAGCAAAUAAUCAUUUUCAUUUUCAUAAAUAUCUCAGGUUCUAUAGCAACGUGGAAUUUAAAAUAUGUGAUAAUAUUCAUAUCUAGAUUAUGCAAUUCGCUCUAUGCAAAAAUAUCACCUCUCUGACUGUUAACAGUUAUAAUGACAUGCUAGCCAAGCACAGUAACCCCAACUAAUCCUCCUUGACUUGCAGGCUUAUCCAUUGGCUUACAUUAAAAUAAGCAAUCAAGUCACUUAGACAUUCAUUAAAUAAUGUACAUUAGAUUGUUCACUAGUAUGCAUCAUCAAUGUAGAGUCACCAGAUGCAAGAGAUACCGCCCUUUAUUAAGUAAGUGCAGCAAUCAGCAACUGUGUUCUAAAUUGCUGCAUAUAUGUUGCUGAGACCAGACCACAGAUGGUUAGCAGUUCUAUUUAUAGUAUGCUUAAAUGCUUCUCAAAAUUCCGCAAGAAUUGCAUGGGAGCUAUGCUUGGAUUCACAAAGUUACCAAAUAGGGCAAUUGUCAUCAAAAAGCUUGGCAAGUUAAUUGAAUUCUCCAAGAACCCCAAAAGGACUAUCAUAUCAACAAUGGCUAAAAGAAAAGAAACAACUUCCGCACUAGUUGCUUAUUUUUUUUUUGAUAACUGAGAAAUCCGUCUGUGACCCACCCUUUGGACCAAUCACAGCCUUCUAAACUCGGUGGAUAAUGGGCCCGCCCCUCUACCCUAGUUGCUUAUUAAUAACUAAUAAGAUAUGCAGAGGAGAAAACUAAGAAUGCAGCUAUAUAAACCACGAGCUACAAAACAAGUAAAGAACAAGGCAGAUGUACCUCGACUGAAUAAGACUUGAACAUAGGUAGGAAACGUCUCCUACAAUAGCUGUUGAACACAAGAG
rnacentral:lncRNA from 1 species